rnacentral:rRNA from 1 species
UACGUAGGGGGCAAGCGUUGUCCGGAUUUAUUGGGCGUAAAGAGCGUGUAGGCGGCCAAGCAGGUCCGCUGUGAAAACUCGAGGCUCAACCUCGAGACGUCGGUUGAAACCGUCUGGCUAGAGUCCGGAAGAGGAGAGUGGAAUUCCCGGUGUAGCGGUGAAAUGCGCAGAUAUCGGGAAGAACACCCGUGGCGAAGGCGGCUCUCUGGGACGGUACUGACGCUGAGACGCGAAAGCGUGGGGAGCGAACAGG